UAGGGAAUCUUCCGCAAUGGACGCAAGUCUGACGGAGCAACGCCGCGUGAGUGAAGAAGGAUUUCGGUUCGUAAAACUCUGUUGUUAGAGAAGAACAGCGCAUAGAGUAACUGUUAUGCGUGUGACGGUAUCUAACCAGAAAGCCACGGCUAACUACGUGCCAGCAGCCGCGGUAAUACGUAGGUGGCAAGCGUUGUCCGGAUUUAUUGGGCGUAAAGCGAGCGCAGGCGGUCAAUUAAGUCUGAUGUGAAAGCCCCCGGCUCAACCGGGGAGGGUCAUUGGAAACUGGUUGACUUGAGUGCAGAAGAGGAGAGUGGAAUUCCAUGUGUAGUGGUGAAAUGCGUAGAUAUAUGGAGGAACACCAGUGGCGAAGGCGACUCUCUGGUCUGUAACUGACGCUGAGGUUCGAAAGCGUGGGUAGCAAACAGG
rnacentral:rRNA from 1 species